ACAUAGGGAGUGGGCUAGUAUUUACAUAUGUCAUCCAUUAGAUUCCCACUUCUUGGUCCAUGUUCAACCCUUUCACUUUGUCCUUGUCUUCUCAAGAAUGAAACAUUUCUUGUCCGUGUUCCUAUACUGAAUAUGCAAAAAGAGUUCUGGACUCUUUAUAGGUUCCACAUAAAUAUUUCUGGCUAGUUUGGUUUUUGAGAUUUGCUUGCAUUUUUCUGGGCUCAAAUGUUAGUACCUAGAGUUGUUACACUCUUGAUGAAGUGAGCAGCUUCACCACUCAAUCAUUUAAGAACUACCCUGAAGAGUCCAUGUUUUCUCUAUACUUUUGUCUUCCUAACAAAUUCAUCUCUUGCUCAUACCCUCCAUUUAAUAAUCGCUUUAAGAGAAUCAGCCCCUAAGUAACUUUGAUUAAAGUCAACUGCAAUAAAAUCAGAUAGGUUCAGUCUGCACUCCAUAGGAAGUGAUAAUAGCUUCAGGAAAAGUAAUUCUUCCCAGUGACAUCAGUUAAAUCUUCAUGGAAGAGUGAACUUAAAAAUCUUGAUUCACUGGUUUG
rnacentral:lncRNA from 1 species